GAUGAACGCUGGCGGCGUGCCUAAUACAUGCAAGUCGAGCGAACGUCAUAGAAGCUUGCUUCUAUGACGUUAGCGGCGGACGGGUGAGUAACACGUGGGCAACCUGCCUGUAAGACUGGGAUAACUUCGGGAAACCGAAGCUAAUACCGGAUAGGAUCUUCUCCUUCAUGGGAGAUGAUUGAAAGAUGGUUUCGGCUAUCACUUACAGAUGGGCCCGCGGUGCAUUAGCCAGUUGGUGAGGUAACGGCUCACCAAGGCAACGAUGCAUAGCCGACCUGAGAGGGUGAUCGGCCACACUGGGACUGCGACACGGCCCAGACUCCUACGGGAGGCAGCAGUAGGGAAUCUUCCGCAAUGGACGAAAGUCUGACGGAGCAACGCCGCGUGAGUGAUGAAGGCUUUCGGGUCGUAAAACUCUGUUGUUAGGGAAGAACAAGUACGAGAGUAACUGCUCGUACCUUGACGGUACCUAACCAGAAAGCCACGGCUAACUACGUGCCAGCAGCCGCGGUAA
rnacentral:rRNA from 1 species